GAAUACCUUGCAGUACAUAUUCUAAAGUUCGAACGAUACAGAAAAAAUUGCGUGUCUCCUGCGCAAGUAUGACGCGCAAAUUCGUGAAGUGUUCCAUAUAUUU